rnacentral:ncRNA from 1 species
GUUGUUGUGAUUGUAGUCCUGCUCCGUUCAAGAGGAACUGCAGGUUCAGACAUUUGGUGUCUGUGCUUGGCUGAGGAGCCAAUAGUGUGAAGCUGCCAUCUGUGGGAUUUUGACUGAAUGCCUCUAAGUCAGAAUCGCUCAACAUUUCCAGUUGGCAAC